GUGCAAUUUCGAUCAAUUUCGGAAUAAUUGACCAACGUACAUAUUGCGUACACUUUGCUUUUUCGAUGGAAUCGACGACUGCGUUCUACGGCCUUACUAAUAUAUACGAUCAUUUACACGAGUUAACAUGACCACAAAAAGCGAAGCAAAAUGUCGCAACUUGAUUAUUGAUUACUUUUUUCGCGUCUACAAGCACUUGCUAUGCGCACACUUUGUCACUCUAAGCGCUUAUCAAGUGUUAUUGCUUACGAAAAAUGUGUGCCACACGCACUUUUUAGAGAUCGAUCAAUUUUUCGCUUUCAAAAAUCGUUAAACGUAUAGAUCUGACUCAUUCCGGACAAGAACCUCGAUUACGUACGUGUCUACUGUAAUAUGCGCCGCAAGUGUGUCUCGAUAUUAUGAAUGUACGGAUUAAGAAGGAUUGAGAAACAAGACAAAUAUACUAAUUACUAAAUCAUACGAUUGUUUAUUCAUGCGAAUGGCAUUGUCCAUUAUCGUUAGGAAGUCAACUGGACGUAGACGCGCGAAAGAGAGCUUAUACAUAUAAAUGUAUAACUGAAGAAGCGGUUCCAAACUCGGUAGACAGCGUGGUUAUGCAACGACUAUAUUACAAUCGACACUGUAAAUGAUCGUAUUACCAAGUCGGAACGCACAACUAAUGCCAGAGGAGAAUAUAAAAAUCGUUUGGUGAGUCAUCGGAUUCGAUUCGAUCAAUUUUAGCCUGCCGGCUGAUAAAAAAACGUUCUUUCGAAUACAAUUUACAGUUAGAAAUUCAUCGUUAACCGUUUCUUGAAGGCGUUGCAUAGGAUUAACUUUGAUUACUUUGAAUAUAAAUAGGGUGACAGUUUCGAGUCACUUCCAGUUCUCGUAUGGAAAAUUCUUUGGUAUUGGAAUACAAACGAAACUCACGGUUCAUCUAAAACUGCUCAGAGACUAUGUUGAAUUAGGAAGAACAAAGCAUCGAAUGCGCUCAGAAAUGAAGUCAUUAGUGAUAUGUCGCGUUAAACGGAUACAUUGGUAGACCUUAAACCGGUAUACGACGUCGAAGAAAUCUCGUACGGUAAUUUCCAUCGUGGAACAGCGUCCUCGUAAGGCUUGUAACGCGUGGAUUCGUCGUUUUCAAGAUAAAAUUAGCUUGAAAAACGUCGUCCGAUACGUUUAACGUUCGACUCGAGAAAAGGAUUAAGCUGCUGGCCAUCGAAGAGCCCCUUGGCAACCGAUUUUUAAAGCGGAAUUAUCAGAGAGAAAGCGAUGACGAGUCAAUACGUUGUAGUGAAAUACGUACAUAUAACAACAGACACGUAAUCUCUCAUGGGAAUUUGCUCAGCCGGUUCAAAGAUCGUUCGAGAAUCAAAAGAGUGACGCUGUGCAACUGUACAUUAGCAUCCAGAACUGGAUCAUCCUGUAUACGAUGAAUAGCGUACUGUGUGUCGUCUUAAUUUACGCCAACGUUUAUACAAGAUAAAAAUGAUUAUUUUAUGCAAAACAAAAAUAACACAUAUAAGCCUGAGAAGAUAGA